GCUUGUUUCAGUAGGACAUAUGCUAAAAUUGGAACCACAGAGAGAAGAUUAGCAUGGCCCCUGUGUGAAGAUGAUACACAAA
rnacentral:snRNA from 1 species